GGAGAGUUGGCAGAGCGGUAAUGCACUGGACUCGAAAUCCAGCGAGCCGUACAAAAGCGGUGCACGGGUUCAAAUCCCGUACUCUCCUC
rnacentral:tRNA from 1 species